AGCAGUCGCCGCGGUAAUACGAAGGGGGCUAGCGUUGUUCGGAUUUACUGGGCGUAAAGCGCACGUAGGCGGACUUUUAAGUCAGGGGUGAAAUCCCGGGGCUCAACCCCGGAACUGCCUUUGAUACUGGAAGUCUUGAGUAUGGUAGAGGUGAGUGGAAUUCCGAGUGUAGAGGUGAAAUUCGUAGAUAUUCGGAGGAACACCAGUGGCGAAGGCGGCUCACUGGACCAUUACUGACGCUGAGGUGCGAAAGCGUGGGGAGCAAACAGGAUUAGAUACCCCUGUAGUCCCUGUCUCUUAUAU
rnacentral:rRNA from 1 species